rnacentral:rRNA from 1 species
UAGCGUUGCUCGGAAUUACUGGGCUUAAAGCGCACGUAGGCGGCUUGUUAAGUCAGGGGUGAAAUCCUGGAGCUCAACUCCAGAACUGCCUUUGAUACUGGAUGGCUUGAGUUCGGGAGAGGGAUGCGGAAUUCCAGGUGUAGCGGUGAAAUGCGUAGAUAUCUGGAGGAACACCGGUGGCGAAGGCGGCAUCCUGGACCGACACUGACGCUGAGGAGCGAAAGCCAGGGGAGCAAACGGG